CCUGCCUUGCCUGCCUGCCUGCCUGCCUUCCUGUCUGUCUGUCUGUUUGUCUGUUUCUGUCUGUCUCUCCAUUUUAGAUCUGGCCAUCACCAAGAAGAAUUACUAAUUAAUACAGCGCACAAAAACAGCAAAAAGAAAAAAACAACAAAAAAAAAACGAAAAAAGGAUUUUUGCUUCAGAGUUUGGAUUAAACAGCGAAGGCAUUUCAUCACAUGUUGCAGUGAUGUCAGUGUUCGCAUUUAUGGCAUUUUCUUGUGUAUUCUUAGAAAACAAAUGUUUUAAAAUAUUACUUUCAGGAUUGCAAAAGAAACCUGUUGAAUACAGAUGGGACACUGGAAUGAUACAGUGAAAUGGAAGCCAGGACUCACACUUUGGUCCUGAGAGGCAAACAGUGAUGUGAUGACAUCACAACUGGCAGCGGAUGCCAGCAAGAUAUGGAAACUACAGUAUCAGUAGAGAUGGACAAAUUCACAGUGGCAGACGUCAUUUACCAGGACGAGAGGCUCCUCCACACAGGCCAAAAUGUGGUGAAGUUAAAAUGUUUUCUGGAUGGACACCGUGCAGGAACCAUCCAGAGAGACUCAUUUCAGGGGGAGCCUAAACAGGUGUGAGGAUGAGUUGGCGGACUUUGCGCCCUGACCCCCCGGAUAUGCUGGAUUUAUUAGGCACAGUGUGAGCAGUGUGUGCUGCUGUUGCUGUGUGCUGAAGUGGUUAAGGAUGAGAAGCUUCUGUCGUAGCCCCCAGGCUGGGAUGGGCUCUUCCUGGCCGACCCUGGGGCUGGUGGACAGGCCUGCAGCAGGGAUGCUAACACAUGUGUAGCGUGGAUGCUAGCACAUGCAGCAGGGAUGCUAGCACAUGUACCCCUGCACAGAGACACACAUCCCCACUUUGCAGGUAUGAUUUGCGAGAAAAUUGGUUAAAGCGCUGUAUGAUUCUUCUUGGAACGAUGUCUUUUGCUUUUUUCUCAU